GUGAAUGGCACAUGGCAGUUGAGUGCAGCGCAAGGGCCCAUUCGUAUGGCCACACUCGCAGGCACCACCUUGCGCUGUUCAUAUUCUUCCUACUGUCCCAUGCCUUUCUCUUGCCUUGCCAUUUCCGCUGAUUCCUGUGGAGAUCAGUCUGAGACUGAAAAGAACAGUCAAGGGAAUAUGUAAACUCUGAAAUACAUUGGAGGAGCAAGGAAGGGAGAAAAGGAAGAACUUCCUAACUGAAUUUGACUAUGUGAUGUAGUAAAAGCUAGAAACGGUUAAUGUCCUUUCUCAUUCUCUAAGCAAGAAGGCUAAAUUAGCUACGGUGAGCCAGCUAGAUCAAGGAAGGAAUGGGCCAGGACUCUAUGGCCCAGAAGAUGCACUAGGGCUUGGACUUUGACGGUAGUAUUAAACUUGGGAGAGAUUUACUAAUCGAUGUUGUUAUUUGACGCUGAGAUUUUUGUUCUUCUGUUAGGCUGAGGAAAUUGGGAUAAUUCGAAUUUUGAAUGAGAAAGAGGAAUUUGGUGCUCGGCUCCAUUUUCUCAAUUUUCAUGUUCCAA